UCUGUCGUGGCUCGUAUCGCACGCUUCUGUACGAAUUUUUCAGUCGCGCUUUUAAGUAUUGCCUUAAAGUUAUGUACUUUUAAUUAACGUCCUAUAUUGAAACGGAAAUCUAAUGCUGUCCUGUUAAAAGGAAGCAAUGAAAGUGGAAUAACACGUUACCCAUUCUACGAGAGGUGAGUCGCGGCUCUAACAGUUUUAAAGUGGUUUCUGUCAUUGUACAGUUAAAACAAAAGGGACAACAAUGUUUUUCAAAGAGGCACCGUCGCGUUUAGGCGCGGGAAGGUCCAAUAAAAUCAAUGACUGAAGACAAAGAAGUCGACGAGGCUAGAUAAUGGCUAAUGAGACCGACCUGUAUUGUGUGCCGGGAGCGACAAGUUUCAACAAAGUGUACAGCCGUCUCCACGGCUACAUCGCCAUCGUAAUAUGCAUAGUCGGUUCUGCGACCAACUCUAUAAACAUCACUGUUUUGAGCCGACGGGAGAUGUCCAGCCCCACCAACUCCAUCCUCACUGGACUAGCCGUGGCAGACCUCUUGGUGAUGCUCGAAUACAUACCGUAUGUGUUGCAUAUGAAUAUCAAAAUCGGACCGCAAGUGAAUAAGAAUACUUAUGCGUGGACCGUUUUUGUUUACUUUCAUUCCAUAUUCAGUCAGACUUUUCACACGAUAUCCAUCUGGCUGGCCGUCACUCUGGCCGUGUGGCGAUAUAUAGCGAUCGCGUAUCCCCACAGGAAUAGAUCGUGGUGCAGUAAGCGAAAUACUUCCAUCGCCAUCGUGAGUGCCUAUGUGAUCUGCCCCUUUCUGUGUCUACCUAUUUAUUUCGCAAUGAAUAUAGUGUCGAGCGAAGUGACCGCGAAAAACAAUUCCCAGUUCGCGGAGGAUUUGUCGUUACCGCAAAACCGGACCGUUUACGUGUUAGAAAUGUCUAAGAAUAAAGAACUGGUGACGGCCAUUAUGUGGAUUUACAGUGUCAUACUUAAACUCGUUCCCUGUAUAGCGUUAUCGAUACUGAGUUCGUGUCUGAUAUCGAAAUUAACGACCACAGACAGAAGGAGACAGAAACUACUGAAGCGCUCGAGCGUAGGGCCCAACGAGGCUGAAAAACAAUGUUUAGCAGAAGAGUCAAGUGCAGGGCGGUGUUCGAGUCGAACAGACAGAACGACUAGAAUGCUGUUGGCGGUCCUAGGGCUGUUUCUCUCAACGGAAGUGCCGCAGGGCUUAUUAGGGCUAGUCAGUGCUUUAGCGCCUGACUUCUUUAAAAGUUGUUAUAGCAUGUUCGGUGAUCUAAUGGACGUCCUCGCACUGUUCACAUCAUCUGUGAACUUUGUUCUGUACUGCAGCAUGAGUCGCCAGUUCAGGUGUACCUUCGCAAGACUCGUGCGACGUAUAUUGUCAACCGCUGCAGACUCCCCGAAGCUAGCUGUUAAACAAGAAGCAACUACACAGGUAACCGGACCUCUUUAGCGACAAAUCCCCGCCCUCGGCAGGGUGGUGGAGGAGAGUACUGUAUAAGUUGUACAGGUGUUCACGUAGCAAUUUCGUGACGGGUCACUUGGCACAUUUCUCUAUUUCGCAAUUAAGCAUUUUUCUGCGUAACUAGGGUAAGAGUGAAUUUAAAUUACGCGUCUAAUAGACAUUUAUCAAUUAUAUAAGUGUUUAUAAUUUUAGUUGAAUGCGUGUCGAGAUCGCAAGAAUGCUUAAGGCAGAUUGUACGAGAGUCUAGUUCUUGCGUCUCCUGAGCCAUGACGCUUAAACUGAAAUUUAGUAAUAGAAAAGUAGAAGUGGUAACAAUAUUAAGUAGGGUCCAAAUCUAUUAUAUUUACGAUAAGUUUUGUGUAUACAUUUCAAUUGUAAUAUUUAAUCAGAGAGAGGUCAAUUGGAAUAAAUAAAUGUUCUAUUUUGUUGUAUCAAUUGUAUAACCAUAGCCGUAAAUAUUUCCAGAGUUAACGUUUGUAAAUUACUUACGCUAUUAUUUAUACGCAUACGCAUUUUUGUAUCGAUAGAGUUAUAACAAAUUGUUUAAUAUAUUUUAAGGUGGUACAAUACAAUAAAUUAAAAUUUUAUAAAA